rnacentral:rRNA from 1 species
AGCAGCCGCGGUAAUUCCAGCUCCAAUAGCGUAUAUUAAAGUUGUUGCAGUUAAAAAGCUCGUAGUUGAAUUUCGGGGUUUAUCCGUUGGUCGGGCUUUUUGGUCUGUACUGGCGUGAUGGAUUCCUACCUUCUGAAUAACCGGCAUGCCAUUAAUUUGGUGCGCCGGGGAAGCAGGACUGUUACCUUGAAAAAAUUAGAGUGCUUAAAGCAGGCUUAUGCCUGAAUACAUUAGCAUGGAAUAAUGAAAUAGGACGGCAUGGUUCUAUUUUGUUGGUUUCUAGGAUUGACGUAAUGAUUAAUAGGGAUAGUUGGGGGCAUUAGUAUUCAAUUGUCAGAGGUGAAAUUCUUGGAUUUAUUGAAGACUAACUACUGCGAAAGCAUUUGCCAAGGAUGUUUUCAUUAAUCAAGAACGAAAGUUAGGGGAUCGAAGACGAUCAGAUACCGUCGUAGUCUUAACCAUAAACUAUGCCGACUAGGGAUCGGAUGAUGUUAAUUUUUUAAUGACUCAUUCGGCGCCU